rnacentral:rRNA from 1 species
GUAGGGGGCAAGCGUUAUCCGGAUUUACUGGGUGUAAAGGGAGCGUAGACGGAGCAGCAAGUCUGAUGUGAAAACCCGGGGCUCAACCCCGGGACUGCAUUGGAAACUGUUGAUCUGGAGUGCCGGAGAGGUAAGCGGAAUUCCUAGUGUAGCGGUGAAAUGCGUGGAUAUUAGGAGGAACACCAGUGGCGAAGGCGGCUUACUGGACGGUAACUGACGUUGAGGCUCGAAAGCGUGGGGAGCAAACAGGAUUAGAUACCCUGGUAGUCCACGCCGUAAACGAUGACUACUAGGUGUCGGGUGGCAAAGCCAUUCGGUGCCGCAGCCAACGCAAUAAGUAGUCCACCUGGGGAGUACGUUCGCAAGAAUG